rnacentral:lncRNA from 1 species
GCAGGGGGCUGUGUCUGACUGGCAGAUUCUGGAGUGGGUGGACGGGGAGAAGUCAAAGGUGAGGCUGGGGAUGAGGUGGCCCCCACAGGGACAGAGUUUUGGCUUUGUUCUGCAGCCAUGCAGGAGCCUUGGAAAUGCUUUGAGCAAGGAGCGACAAGGUGACAUUUGCAUUUGAGAGAGAUAACAUGGCAUUUUGUGGCUGGCGAGAGCAGAAAGGUCAUUUGGUCGGAGAGCAAAAGGAAGGUAUUGCCUCGUGGAGGGAAGAGAGAAACAGACUGAGAAAUCACCAGGCUGUUCCCCUUCAGAGACCAGCAGUGACAACUCUGGGGACAGGCACAGGAUGGCGGGAGAUGCAAGCUCAGGUUGACCUUAUGGAAGCCACUGGAAACCCAGCUGUGUCCUGCAGGGUCCUGGCUGGGAGGUGGAUGGGGGAGAACACAGGACACAGGAAACCCCAGGAGAGAACUUGGAGAACUCCCUCCAGGGACGGUGGGCCCGAUCUGACCACACCACUGACUUGCUGUGUGACCCGGGGCCAAUAGAUCCACCUUUCAUCUCACCAUCUGCAAAAGAGCUGAGCCCAAACUGACCUCUCCAAGGAGGUGAGUUCCCUGAAGACACCAGUGAGGUGUCGGGAGCCCAGAAGUGGAACUCAAUGAUAAUCCGUCUUUCAGGAAAAGAGCACAAAAUCGGAUAAGGCAAGAAAUCCAACAAAUUACGCAUCUCUAAAGUGUCAACAAAUGCUGUAAUGAAUGCCAUAAAUAUCACAAAAGUUUAGAAUGUGAUUAUUCAUGAAAU